rnacentral:rRNA from 1 species
UACGAAGGGGGCUAGCGUUGUUCGGAUUUACUGGGCGUAAAGCGCACGUAGGCGGAUUGUUAAGUCGGGGGUGAAAUCCUGGAGCUCAACUCCAGAAUUGCCUUCGAUACUGGCUUUCUAGAGGCUGGAAGAGGUUAGUGGAAUUCCCAGUGUAGAGGUGAAAUUCGUAGAUAUUGGGAAGAACACCAGUGGCGAAGGCGGCUAACUGGUCCAGAUCUGACGCUGAGGUGCGAAAGCGUGGGGAGCAAACAGGAUUAGAAACCCGGUAGUCC